rnacentral:rRNA from 1 species
GAUUAAGUUAUUAAGGGCGCACGGUGGAUGCCUUGGCACUAGAAGCCGAUGAAGGACGUUACUAACGACGAUAUGCUUUGGGGAGCUGUAAGUAAGCUUUGAUCCAGAGAUUUCCGAAUGGGGAAACCCAGCAUGAGUUAUGUCAUGUUAUCGAUAUGUGAAUACAUAGCAUAUCAGAAGGCACACCCGGAGAACUGAAACAUCUUAGUACCCGGAGGAAGAGAAAGAAAAUUCGAUUCCCUUAGUAGCGGCGAGCGAAAUGGGAAGAGCCCAAACCAACAAGCUUGCUUGUUGGGGUUGUAGGACACUCUAUACGGAGUUACAAAGGACGACAUUAGACGAAUCAUCUGGAAAGAUGAAUCAAAGAAGGUAAUAAUCCUGUAGUCGAAAAUGUUGUCUCUCUUGAGUGGAUCCUGAGUACGACGGAGCACGUGAAAUUCCGUCGGAAUCUGGGAGGACCAUCUCCUAAGGCUAAAUACUCUCUAGUGACCGAUAGUGAACCAGUACCGUGAGGGAAAGGUGAAAAGCACCCCGGAAGGGGAGUGAAAUAGAACCUGAAACCGUGUGCUUACAAGUAGUCAGAGCCCGUUAAUGGGUGAUGGCGUGCCUUUUGUAGAAUGAACCGGCGAGUUACGAUUUGAUGCAAGGUUAAGCAGUAAAUGUGGAGCCGUAGCGGAAGCGAGUCUGAAUAGGGCGUUUAGUAUUUGGUCGUAGACCCGAAACCAGGUGAUCUACCCUUGGUCAGGUUGAAGUUCAGGUAACACUGAAUGGAGGACCGAACCGACUUACGUUGAAAAGUGAGCGGAUGAACUGAGGGUAGCGGAGAAAUUCCAAUCGAACCUGGAGAUAGCUGGUUCUCUCCGAAAUAGCUUUAGGGCUAGCCUCAAGUGAUGAUUAUUGGAGGUAGAGCACUGUUUGGACGAGGGGCCCCUCUCGGGUUACCGAAUUCAGACAAACUCCGAAUGCCAAUUAAUUUAACUUGGGAGUCAGAACAUGGGUGAUAAGGUCCGUGUUCGAAAGGGAAACAGCCCAGACCACCAGCUAAGGUCCCAAAAUAUAUGUUAAGUGGAAAAGGAUGUGGCGUUGCCCAGACAACUAGGAUGUUGGCUUAGAAGCAGCCAUCAUUUAAAGAGUGCGUAAUAGCUCACUAGUCGAGUGACACUGCGCCGAAAAUGUACCGGGGCUAAACAUAUUACCGAAGCUGUGGAUUGUCCUUUGGACAAUGGUAGGAGAGCGUUCUAAGGGCGUUGAAGCAUGAUCGUAAGGACAUGUGGAGCGCUUAGAAGUGAGAAUGCCGGUGUGAGUAGCGAAAGACGGGUGAGAAUCCCGUCCACCGAUUGACUAAGGUUUCCAGAGGAAGGCUCGUCCGCUCUGGGUUAGUCGGGUCCUAAGCUGAGGCCGACAGGCGUAGGCGAUGGAUAACAGGUUGAUAUUCCUGUACCACCUAUAAUCGUUUUAAUCGAUGGGGGGACGCAGUAGGAUAGGCGAAGCGUGCGAUUGGAUUGCACGUCUAAGCAGUAAGGCUGAGUAUUAGGCAAAUCCGGUACUCGUUAAGGCUGAGCUGUGAUGGGGAGAAGACAUUGUGUCUUCGAGUCGUUGAUUUCACACUGCCGAGAAAAGCCUCUAGAUAGAAAAUAGGUGCCCGUACCGCAAACCGACACAGGUAGUCAAGAUGAGAAUUCUAAGGUGAGCGAGCGAACUCUCGUUAAGGAACUCGGCAAAAUGACCCCGUAACUUCGGGAGAAGGGGUGCUCUUUAGGGUUAACGCCCAGAAGAGCCGCAGUGAAUAGGCCCAAGCGACUGUUUAUCAAAAACACAGGUCUCUGCUAAACCGUAAGGUGAUGUAUAGGGGCUGACGCCUGCCCGGUGCUGGAAGGUUAAGAGGAGUGGUUAGCUUCUGCGAAGCUACGAAUCGAAGCCCCAGUAAACGGCGGCCGUAACUAUAACGGUCCUAAGGUAGCGAAAUUCCUUGUCGGGUAAGUUCCGACCCGCACGAAAGGCGUAACGAUUUGGGCACUGUCUCAACGAGAGACUCGGUGAAAUCAUAGUACCUGUGAAGAUGCAGGUUACCCGCGACAGGACGGAAAGACCCCGUGGAGCUUUACUGUAGCCUGAUAUUGAAAUUCGGCACAGCUUGUACAGGAUAGGUAGGAGCCUUUGAAACGUGAGCGCUAGCUUACGUGGAGGCGCUGGUGGGAUACUACCCUAGCUGUGUUGGCUUUCUAACCCGCACCACUUAUCGUGGUGGGAGACAGUGUCAGGCGGGCAGUUUGACUGGGGCGGUCGCCUCCUAAAAGGUAACGGAGGCGCUCAAAGGUUCCCUCAGAAUGGUUGGAAAUCAUUCAUAGAGUGUAAAGGCAUAAGGGAGCUUGACUGCGAGACCUACAAGUCGAGCAGGGUCGAAAGACGGACUUAGUGAUCCGGUGGUUCCGCAUGGAAGGGCCAUCGCUCAACGGAUAAAAGCUACCCCGGGGAUAACAGGCUUAUCUCCCCCAAGAGUUCACAUCGACGGGGAGGUUUGGCACCUCGAUGUCGGCUCAUCGCAUCCUGGGGCUGUAGUCGGUCCCAAGGGUUGGGCUGUUCGCCCAUUAAAGCGGUACGCGAGCUGGGUUCAGAACGUCGUGAGACAGUUCGGUCCCUAUCCGUCGUGGGCGUAGGAAAUUUGAGAGGAGCUGUCCUUAGUACGAGAGGACCGGGAUGGACAUACCUCUGGUGUACCAGUUGUCGUGCCAACGGCAUAGCUGGGUAGCUAUGUGUGGACGGGAUAAGUGCUGAAAGCAUCUAAGCAUGAAGCCCCCCUCAAGAUGAGAUUUCCCAACUUCGGUUAUAAGAUCCCUCAAAGAUGAUGAGGUUAAUAGGUUCGAGGUGGAAGCAUGGUGACAUGUGGAGCUGACGAAUACUAAUCGAUCGAAGACUUAAUCAA